GCCAGUGUGGCUCAGUGGUUGAGCAUCGAGCUAUGAACCAGGAGGUCAAGGUUCGAGUCCCUGUCAGGGCA
rnacentral:tRNA from 1 species